AACGAACGCUGGCGGCAUGCCUAACACAUGCAAGUCGAACGAGACCUUCGGGUCUAGUGGCGCACGGGUGCGUAACACGUGGGUAUCUGCCCUUCGGUUCGGAAUAACAGAGAGAAAUUUCUGCUAAUACCGGAUGAUGACGUAAGUCCAAAGAUUUAUCGCCGAAGGAUGAGCCCGCGUAGGAUUAGGUAGUUGGUGGGGUAAUGGCCAACCAAGCCGACGAUCAUUAGCUGGUCUGAGAGGAUGAUCAGCCACGCUGGGACUGAGACACGGACGAGACUCAUACGGGAGGCAGCAGUGGGGAAUAUUGGACAAUGGGCGAAAGCCUGAUCCAGCAAUGCCGCGUGAGUGAUGAAGGCCUUAGGGUUGUAAGGCUCUUUUACCAGGGAUGAUAAUGACAGUACCUGGAGAAUAAGCUCCGGCUAACUCCGUGCCAGCCGCCGCAGUAAUAC
rnacentral:rRNA from 1 species